UACGGAGGGGGCAAGCGUUGUUCGGAAUUACUGGGCGUAAAGGGCGCGUAGGCGGACCUUCAAGGCAGGGGUGAAAGGCCUGGGCUCAACCUGGGAACUGCCUUUGAAACUGGAGGUCUUGAGUCCGGGAGAGGAUGGCGGAAUUCCCAGCGUAGAGGUGAAAUUCGUGGUUAUUGGGAAGAACACCGGUGGCGAGGGCGGCCAUCUGGUCCGGCACUGACGCUGAGGCGCGGAAGCGUGGGGAGCAAUCAGG
rnacentral:rRNA from 1 species